AGAGGAGCAGUGGAAUCAUUGGGUAGAAGGGUCCUUUUAUCAAAUUGGCUGGCCCAGCACUGACUCAGCUAAGGAAUGGCCAAGGAGGGGGGAGGUAGCUUGUUGGCCAAUGUCUACAGGACUCUUAACAAAAAUGAUUUUUCAUACAGGUGACACACUCAUGAGUGCACAACAGUGGAUGCUGAGCCUUGAGAGGCAAGUGGUGUGUAACGGGCAAAGUUCUGCCACAUCAAUGUGAGUGCAACUGCAGACGUCUUUUCAAGUUUCUACAUUUUUAACUUUGCAUACCAAGAAGAAGCCUCAUUAACCCUUGAAUUUCUACAAAGUCCCACAGAUUUAAUGGAGAACAGCAGUCGUGAGCAUCUAAACAUUGAUGCAGUAGUACAGGUUUUGGAGGAACAUAUACUAAAGUUUCUCACUGGCUAUAGGAAUUGUGAUGUAGUGAAGCAUCCUGAGCUGGCUUCUCUUUCCAGCAAUUGACUGCCGGCUUUGUCCAUACCCUAGCAGCUCUUGAAGCAAGAAAGUAUCUGUUAUACCUGUGUGCCCACUUAGGAUGGAGUGUGUGAGCACCAAACAAAAAGGGGACUUCCACCUCAAGUACCCAGAGAAGAACUGCAACUUCAGCACAAGAACAGUGUUAAAGAUUUCAAAUGUAGGCCAGCUGCCUGCCACGGUGCUAUUAUUUUGGAUACUCCAUAUCUGAAACCUGGAUUGUGCAGUUCUUCCCAGAACACUUGCAUCCUGCUUUCCUGGGGCACAUGUUCUGCCGAUUUAUGCUGCACGAGGACAGAAAGCUCUUUAAAAAAAAAAAAAAAUGUCGGUGCUGUGGUUUUCCAUGUGGGAACAAAUAUUCACAAUUUCAGGUUAAGGGUACAGAAAGAGGACUUUGGAUCACUGCUUCACAUCACUCAUGAAGGGUUUUUCCCCAUGAAGAGAUGGACUACAUCUGCACAGGCCAAGCACCCAGGUCCUCUCAGACAAUAACGCUAAGGCUCAGAAUGGCAAGAAGUCUCAUUUGGUGACAAAUCUGGAAUGAAUUGGCAGACUGUGAGUUGGAGCAGACACAGAAGUGAAGAGCACACUGAUCACAGUGGAGGCAUGAAAAGUGAAAGCAGUAAAGACUUCUGUAAUGAGCUUUGAGGGACUCCAUAUUGAACUUCUAUGUAUAAUGAUGGACUACUGUCAGCACAUUUCUGUAUGUACUGGAAUCGAUUUGAUAAAUAAGAGCUAAACCAGGAUCCACAGGCGUACUGCAGAGUGUCCAGAAUAGUGCCACCAAAUUGAUGACCUGGGAGCCGAGGAACAAAAUUUUGGUGGCUUAGACCACCAUCUCACUGUUCUGUUACUCGCCCUGCGGCUGAAUUGGUGCUGUUGAUUUCAGCCUCGUACUGACUACAAUGGGACCUGGAAAGAGACUGAAGCCAAAUCAUUAGUAACCAAAUUGUAUAAACACAUUGAUUCAAUUCAGUUUUCAGUUUACCUAAUUGCUAUUACGUUUCUAACGUGGUCCUCCAAUUUGUGUAUUUUCCUGCCCAAUUCUAAAUUAACUAUCGGCCAGAAAGCCUGAAUUGUAUGUGAAGCAGGACACACAACAUAUAAACACGCCCUCAACGGGCAGAGGGCAGAUGCAAUUUGCAUUCAGACGGAUGUUGGCAUUACUCCAGCUGAACUUUACUGACUAAUUCGAUUAGUUAUCGGAUAUUCUUUUCAGACACUGUAAAACUCUUAUGUGUGUGUGUGAGAUGCCAAUUUCAUUCUUCUGCUCACUGCUCAGUCCCACCAGAUGUUCUGUAAAAUAAGGAAUAAGCUCAUUAUUAAAAUGUUUCUAAAUCCCUA